CCUGGGUGGCGCGUCGGCCGGCGUCGGGUGCUCGGGGCGGCCGGCGGUCAGAGGCGGCAGCAGCGUGCGGGUCUGUCCGGCGGAGCUGGGCUUGCAGAGAGGAGAGACGCGGUCGUACGCAUAGCGCCGGAGCGGAUCUGAAUCAGAUCUUCAGAUCUUCAUCCAACCACUGAUCUGCGCUCAGAUUUCAUCUCAGAUCAAUGGAAGCCAGAGCUCCGGAGUAAGAGAGAGACGUCCUCGUUAACAAGGCAGAGGGGAAAACAACUAAAUGACGUCCCUGAAGCUGUUGGCGCUGAUGGAUGGAAAUGAGGCAGCAUGUGACUAAUCCCUGGACUGCUUUGGAUGAGGUCUUUGUGAAGGUUAAAAAAAAGACUCACAUGGAAGUGCAAAAGGGAAACAUCACAGAUUUUACACAUCAAAGUCUGUUCAAAACAUGUAUGAAGCUUUCAGCCGCAAGAGGCUACAUUAGCCGCUGCUAACAAAACAUAGUAGUGGACAAAAGUUUUCAAACAUCCCAUACAUUUGUGAAAUAUGGCAUUAAGAAUCACUCUGAGGUCUUCAAGUGCAGUUUCUUUUGGGAUUGUCACAUUCGAAAAUACAUAAGAAAUUUUGAGAAUUGGGUCAUUUUGGUAGCAGUGAUCCACUAAUGAAGGUCCUGCUUUUAAUUAAAAGACACAAUUUUUGUUGCCGUGCUUCAUGUCCAUAGAAAACCAGCACAUCUGAAAAUUCUUCAAAGACAAAAAUGGAUAAAACAAGGAAUCUAAUGCAGGAAACACAACUAAAGAUACAUAUUCUCAGCCAGGAAGGUACAGCUGCCACCAGAUAGCCAGGAAGUGCAGAUGCAGUCCUUCAUCAUUUGGAUACACUCUGCAGAAAUACAGAUGAACCAACAGCGUGAAAGAUAAACCAAGAUCUGGGCGUCAAAGGGUUCUUCAGGAAGAAAUGACUGCAUCCUGAUCCACAUGUGCAGAGAAAACCACUCAGUGACAUCACAGGAGCUUCAGCAGCAGUGGUCAAACCAAUCUGGUGUCCAGUGUUCCACCUGCAUUAAAUGUGAUCAGCUUUUAGAUGAUGGCUUAACGUCCUACAAGGCUGUCAAGAAGCCCCUGAUCAAUGACAGAGAGAGGUUAGCCCAUCGCAAGCACACAAGAACUGGACAGUCAGGAACUGGAAGAGAAUCAGAUGAGUCAGAUGAGUCCAGUUUCCAGCUUUAUCUUCCUCCUGCUAAUGUGAGGGUACAAAGACGACCAGGCGAAGCGUCAUCUCCAGCUUGUACAGUACCUACUGUCAGGCAUGGUGGAGGCAGUAUCAUGGUUUGGGGAUGCAGAGUGCUGCUGGUGUUGGUCGUCUCACAUUGAACUCUGCCAAGUAUUGUGUCAUUGUCCAAACCCACUGCUCCCUUCUGCACAUGCUCUGUUCCAUGGACAUCGUGAUCAAAUCCCAUUAUGUAUUAAAUACUUAACUGUGCAUAUUAAGGACAGAAAAAUAAUCAUUUUGCAGAUUGUAUAUGUGUGUAUAGAAAUAUCAUGUUAUGUGUUAAUUAUGUAUAAUAAAGACAGAAAAAUUGUAUUUCUAAUUGUCAUUGUGCCAAAUAUGUUUGUAAAUGUGGAAAAAUCACAUCAUGUAUUAAUUAAAGAUGUAUAAUAAAGACAGAUUUUUUUCAUUUUCA